UACGGGGGGGGCAAGCGUUGUUCGGAAUUACUGGGCGUAAAGGGCUCGUAGGCGGCCAACUAAGUCAGACGUGAAAUCCCUCGGCUUAACCGGGGAACGGCGUCUGAUACUGGAUGGCUUGAGUUCGGGAGAGGGAUGCGGAAUUCCAGGUGUAGCGGUGAAAUGCGUAGAUAUCGGAAGGAACGCCGGUGGCGAAAGCGACGUGCUGGACACCUUCUGACGCUGAAGAACGAAAGCUAGGGGAGCAAACAGG
rnacentral:rRNA from 1 species